AUACGUAGGGGGCAAGCGUUAUCCGGAUUUACUGGGUGUAAAGGGAGCGUAGACGGUAAAGCAAGUCUGAAGUGAAAGCUCGGGGCUCAACCCCGGAACUGCUUUGGAAACUGUUUUACUGGAGUGCAGGAGAGGUAAGCGGAAUUCCUAGUGUAGCGGUGAAAUGCGUAGAUAUUAGGAGGAACACCAGAGGCGAAGGCGGCUUACUGGACUGUAACUGACGUUGAGGGUCGAAGGCGUGGGGAGCAAACAGGAUUAGAUACCCUGGUAGUCCACGCGGUAAACGAUGAUCACUAGGUGUCGGCGGCCAUAGGCGGUCGGUGCCGCAGCAAACGCAAUAAGUGAUCCACCUGGGGAGUACGUUCGCAAGAAUGAAACUCAAAUGAAUUGACGGGG
rnacentral:rRNA from 1 species